rnacentral:tRNA from 2 species
GGGUUGUUAGCUCAGUUGGUAGAGCAGCGGACUCUUAAUCCGUAGGUCGUAGGUUCGAGCCCCACACAACCCACCA